rnacentral:pre_miRNA from 1 species
CAACUACUCCCUCUGUCCCAAAUUUCUUGUCUUAGAUUUGUCUAGAUACAGAUGUAUCUAAUACUAAAAUGUGACUUGAUACAUCCGUAUCUAGACAAAUCUAAGACAAGAAUUGUGGGAUGGAGGGAGUACUUU